CCUACGGGAGGCAGCAGUGAGGAAUAUUGGUCAAUGGGCGCGAGCCUGAACCAGCCAAGUAGCGUGAAGGAUGACUGCCCUACGGGUUGUAAACUUCUUUUAUAAAGGAAUAAAGUGAGGCACGUGUGCCUUUUUGUAUGUACUUUAUGAAUAAGGAUCGGCUAACUCCGUGCCAGCAGCCGCGGUAAUACGGAGGAUCCGAGCGUUAUCCGGAUUUAUUGGGUUUAAAGGGAGCGUAGAUGGGUUGGUAAGUCAGUUGUGAAAGUUUGCGGCUCAACCGUAAAAUUGCAAUUGAUACUGGCAGUCUUGAGGAUAGUUGAGGUAGGGGGAAUUCGUGGUGUAGCGGUGAAAUGCUUAGAUAUCGCGCAGAACCCCGAGUGGGAAGGCAGCGUACCGGCUCCACACUGACGCUGAGGCACGAAAGCGUGGGUAUCGAACAGGAUUAGAUACCCUAGUAGUC
rnacentral:rRNA from 1 species